GAUGAACGCUGGCGGCGUGCUUAACACAUGCAAGUCGAACGGAGAAAGGGUAGCUUGCUAUCUUUUCUUAGUGGCGGACGGGUGAGUAACGCGUGGGUAACCUGCCCUUUGCAGGGGGAUAACAGUGAGAAAUCACUGCUAAUACCGCAUACCAACUUCUUUCGCAUGAAAGAAGUUUGAAAGAUUUAUCGGCAAAGGAUGGACCCGCGUUGGAUUAGCUAGUUGGUGAGAUAACAGCCCACCAAGGCAACGAUCCAUAGCCGGCCUGAGAGGGUGAACGGCCACACUGGGACUGAGACACGGCCCAGACUCCUACGGGAGGCAGCAGUGGGGAAUAUUGCACAAUGGGCGAAAGCCUGAUGCAGCGACGCCGCGUGAAGGAUGAAGGUCUUCGGAUUGUAAACUUCUAUCAGCAGGGAGAAAGGGCUUAUAGCCUAUGACGGUACCUGACUAAGAAGCCCCGGCUAACUACGUGCCAGCAGCCGCGGU
rnacentral:rRNA from 1 species